AGUUUCGUAGCUCGGUGGUUAGAGCGAUGGUCUUAUGAGCUAUCGGUCGUGAGUUCGAUCCCUGCCGGAACUA
rnacentral:tRNA from 1 species